GCUGGGCAUGGUGGCACAUGCCUGUAGUCCUAGCUACUUAGGAGGCUGAGGCAGGAGGAUGGCUUGAGCUCAGGAAUUUGAGGCUGCUGUGAACCAUUAUCUUACCACUGCACUCCAGCCUGGGCAACAGAGUGAGAUCCUGACUCAA
ensembl:misc_RNA Metazoa_SRP Metazoan signal recognition particle RNA